CGGAAUUCCCCCGUUUAGAAAGCCAUUUAAGUCGGCAACCUAUAGCAACUGUGUCAAUCACUCGGCGGAAAAGGCAGGGAGACGGUUGCGCACGCUGGCGGCUCCGGCUGAGUCAGUGAAGAGAUGAAGUGGGCAGUGGAAUGAUGAAGAUAGUCAUGCAAGAGAUGGGAGACAGAGCAUGAGAGAUGUGGACAUAGACACACACCUCUGACCAACUGCGGCACACUGACCAAGAACUGUGGCCAAUAAGGUCAACAACACAAUAGUGUUUUUGGAUUGCUUACAUUCCAUGCCAAAUUCCAAGAGAGGAACAGACAAACAUCAAACAGCCUUCCAGCCUCAGAGUGAACUCCCUGAGAUUACAGCAACUGCAAUGGCUUAGCGAGGACUCUAGGUGUGGCUACAACCCUGGGGGCUCUGGAGGGGAAGGGGACAGAGUGGAUUGUUAAUGGCUCCCCGGCAGGUUUUGGACAUUUGUGGGGUUUCUUUCUCCUUAGUGGGUGGUUCUGCUGCUGUGGUGGCCAGGUUGAGGGCUUGGCCUGCGAUGGAGAACUACUCUUCUCACCCUUGUGACAUCUUCACAAUUCCAGACAAUAAAUCCAGGACAGCAGCCAGAGGAGAGGUGAGGGGAUUAUUGGAGGAAAUCUUGGAAUGAGUUCUCCAUUGAACUCUGAUGGCAGGGAGGCAGAGCCUGAGAUCCAGGAAGGAUCCUGGAAGCAAGGGUUUCUGGAAGGAAGACAACAAGGAGGGAACCCGUUCUUCUAUAAGCUUCUCUUGAUCGGACUUCAUGAGCUUCAGCUGUGAGGAACCGCCUGCCAGUCACACCAUGUAAUCAGAAGAGAGCAAAAGGUCCAAGCAAAGACUAAACUGGUCUUGACUGAGAGUCCUUGAGCAAUUCCAUAUGAAGUUCCUGAUUGUUCCACCUGAGGCCUCAUACCAAUGUGCUUACUACGCUGAGCCAUAUUCAAGUCCUUCAUAGAACCUCCUGGAUGUCUCCUCAGUUUCCACAGUAAUCCCCCGCAGCUCCUUCACCUCUGAGUCCUCAGCCUUCCUGCAGCCCCAUGUCUCUGCAACAUAGAAAUACUCACCUUCAUGGAAGGCAUGCAGCACCUUACCCCCAAACCAGACUGGACCAUGUCUUUUUGAACACCAUUUCUCCUGCAGACACAGUGCAGUGCCUCGUGUCGUGUGGAAAUGUUCAAUUGGACUUGCAUCAUUGCACUAAGUUGGCGGAGGACUGCAUAUUUUCCACCUGAGGAAUCUCCUGCAGAAAGAAAAGUCAUGCUCUUACCACAUACCUCUUCACCUAGUCUAAUGAUGCUGCUCUCCACAUUUCUGCAAAGUGUGCAUUGACCGCUGUAAGUUUGCUGAAACUGCAAAGCUUUUUCGCAAUCCCUCCAUGAAUCCUACCCAAAUUUUGCCAAUAUCUUCUUGGGUGUAAAAAUCAUGCACGACUUAGCAAGUUUGCACAAGUCUCUUUCCCGAGUAAAAUAAACAAUUUAUGUUCCUCAUUCUUUUUUUUGUUUUAGUUAUAGGAUAACAUACCAUCAUGUUUCUGCUUUAUUAAGCUUUCUUGAGUACUCGGAAUUCCCUGAUGAACUGGUGUAUAAAAGUGUCUUGCAUGGAUGAAAUGAACAUUUGGUUUUCUCAGGAUAUGCUUGAUUUAAAACAUUUAGACCAAAUGAAACACCUCAAUACUCUGUGAUUUAAUGUUUCAGUUUUUGGAACCACUGUUUGUGAAACAAUAAAGCUUUAAUAUGCUGGUUUUGUAUUUGAAUCUAA